rnacentral:rRNA from 1 species
UACGUAGGGUGCAAGCGUUAAUCGGAAUUACUGGGCGUAAAGCGUGCGCAGGCGGUUAUGUAAGACAGGUGUGAAAUCCCCGGGCUUAACCUGGGAACUGCAUUUGUGACUGCAUAGCUAGAGUACGGUAGAGGGGGAUGGAAUUCCGCGUGUAGCAGUGAAAUGCGUAGAUAUGCGGAGGAACACCGAUGGCGAAGGCAGCCCCCUGGGCUAAGAUUGACGCUCAUGCACGAAAGCGUGGGGAGCAAACAGG